CCUCGUCGAUGCGGCUGGUG
rnacentral:misc_RNA from 1 species